UGCUUUUGGGGGGUGGUCCCAAGGGACUACUGGGGGGUGAAUGGGCUUGCCUGGGCACCAGGCCACUUGGGCACAUGGCUCAGUGUUGUCCUUAAUGACCUAGGUGAUCUCAGCAAGCCACCGCCAGGAUCUCGUGCCCACCCCUGGUCUCGGUUUCCCUGUCCAUCAAAUGGAGCCAGUGAUAAUAAGCCCUGCCUGCCCUACUUCAUAGCUAAUGGGAGGAUCAAAGGAGAAAACGGGUUGGGCCAGAGUGCGCACCCUUUGUAGUCCAAGGGCCCACGCACAUCGGCUGGCCAGCCAGCCUGGCAUUCUCCAGGUGGAGUAAAGGAAGGGGAAGGGAUGCAGGGACAGCCGUCAGCGGUGGCCUGAGUCUGCUGGACAUUCCUGUCUCCUCCCCAGACUUGACAUAAUGACAAUAACAAGGUUUGAAAGGCCAAGUGCACAGCGCCCCAGAUUUUACAAAUUCCUUCCCUACCCAUUAUCUGAGGCUCUCCCCUCCACCCCUGCCUCAGGGCCUUUGCACCACUUCUUCCCCUGCCUGGAACACUCUUCCCCAAGGUGAGUGAAAGGUAGUCUCCUUCUCAGCCCCAGUUCACCUCCUCUGAAGCCUGCUAACCACCCAUUUAAAUGAACUUCUGCCCCACCCCUGGCCUCACCGACACUCUCCCUCCUGUCUCUGCUCCACCUCUUAAGAGACUACCAUGACCUUGCUCGUACAGGGGCCAUCCCUCCCUCCCCCCGCCGCCCCCGCCCCAAGACAUUAAGCUCCAUGAGGGCAGGAACCACCACUGCCUUCUGUGGUAGCUCUCACUGUCCUGUCUUACUGGAGGAGCCUGAGUCUCGAGAGGCCAAAUGACUUGCCCAAGGCCACACGGCCUGGGAGGAGCUAGGGGCCCUUUCCCGAAUGGCUCCACAACCGUACCAGCUGCAUCCUUGCCAGGCCCCACCCGCCACCCCCGCGGGGUUGAGCCUGUUGGUCGUUCCUUACACAUAGUAGGUGCUGUGCACGUAUCUGUUUGGUGCACUGUGGGGACACAAAGGUUUGCUGGACAGAAGAAUGUGCCACUGGAUUGAACAUGCCCAUCUGGUUGCUGCCCUAGGGGGCCUCUGGGCUAACACCUUGGGCCCCGCAUGGGGGCAUCCCAGGGGCCUCCUUACCCUGCCCAGCGGGCUGGCUGGCCUCACCGUCCUCCCGGAAUUGUCCCGGCAGCUGCGGGGGGGCCGGAUGCCCCACCCCCAGUGCCUCUGGGCCCUGAGCCCAGGCCGCAGGCGGAUCUGUGGUUGGCACUGCUCCUUCGCUUUGGGGUGGGAACACCACAGGGAUUUUAAAAAUAAAGGGCCUUGAGACAGUGGCCUGGCCCAGCCAGCCGUGGGGUGGGGGCCAGACGGGACAAUGGGAUGCUGAGCCUUGGGGGCUGUCCACCCUGAGGGAGCAGCCAGGCCAGCGGAGCCCCUUUCUCCCAGCCCCCCAGGAGUGCUGCUCCCCCAAGAACACCCCCUCCUCGCCUGUCCUAAACAUAGGUCUCUCACAUGCUUACUGAGCACCUACUACGUGCUAGGCUUCAGUGAGAGUGGGGUGGGGAGGCCUGGCCUCUGUCUCCCCUAACUCUGCUGCUCUCCCCAGGGUGGCCCCUCUCCUCCCCCCCCCCAAGCUGCAGGCCACGUUAUUUCUUGAGCACCUACUAUGUGCCAGGCUCGUUCUGGCCUCUCCCCUCUCAGCCUCUGUGUUUGUCUCUGCUGCUGUCACUCCCUCAGGCCUCUCCCCAUCUCAGGCCAUUUCUGUCUCCCUCUCUCUCCUCUGGCCCAGCUAACAGGAAGCAGCCGGAGAGGUCAAGGGCCGCUGGGCCUCCAGAGCCCAGCGUCUACACACACAGGGGCCUGUCUGCAGCGGUGGGGGGGACUUCCUGUUUAUGUGAAUCACAAGGACCCCUGGGGCGGUGCCUUGGACAGGACUCCGGGGCAGCCCCUCUAGUCCAGACCUCAGUCCCUCCCCGAGAGGCCCCAUGUGCUAGCUCAGACCCAGGCCGCUGCCCUUCCCCUGCACUGGGGAACGCGAGAAGGGAGGAGGAGUGAGGAGUCUUUGGAAUGGCCAGGAAUGUGGGAGUCGAAUGUCCAGAAUGUCCGCAGGAAGCAUCCCUGGCUCCAGGGCCCAGCCCCCACCAGUCUGGGCGCCCCGCCCCAUUCUCUCCCCCCCCACCACAGGGCCCUCCCUUGCUUGGAUAGGGGAGGGCUGUGGGAGCCCGGAGGGAGGAGGCCAAACCCCAUCCUGCCUCGCUGGGGCCACAAGACUUCAGCUCUGGCUUGACCGGGCUCUGGCAGCCACAGCCUCUCAUCUGUGGGCAAGGGCCACGAGCCAGCAACUCCGUCAGCCUCGUUCCUGCGCCGUCUCUGGAGGAUGGGGCAGGGGCUGCCUGGAGAUUUGGGACCACCGGAGAGACCACGGACCAAGACGUCACACCUCAAGGAAUCCCUCCGUGUUCUAAGCCCCAGGCCCUAGCACAGGUAUUGACCAAGGGCCUGGGGGUCAUGGCCAUUGGAAGAGGCAGGGCAGGGAGACUGGCCCUGUCCCUCUUCCCCUACCUUGCCCAGAAGGAGGGUGAGACAUUCCCAGGGCCUGACAUCCCUGGAAGCCAUUGUGACUCGCUCAUUCAUUCUGGUUUAUGGAACCCCUUCCACAGUGCCAGUUACCACGGACCGAGGGAAGUAAAGAGAAGCUUUUCAGGUGCUUCCUGGUGGGGAGACCACCGUGUGAUUGGGUCAUUCCUGCUCACUGGAGGGGUGUGUUGACAAAGUUCAGAAUCCACAGAAGAGCCAGCAAUGAAUUUGGGGCUUGGGGCUGCGGUGCGGAUAAGGGGAGACUUCAACAGUUUGUUCAACUGAGGCCCCCACAGGAGGAAUGACAGUGCGGGCUGGGCUCAGAUCCUUCUGCCACUUCUGAACGGUUCUUCUUCCAUCUGGGCCUCAGUAUGCCCACCUGGGACCCUGGGAUCAUGACCUGAGCCCGAGGCAGACACAACCAACUGAGCCACCCAGGCGCCCCACUCUCCUGGGGUUGUUAUGAGAACUCACAGGGUAAAUCACUUGGAGCUGUACCUGGUGUGUGGUCAGCCUGAAGAUGGUUUAGCUGUUGUCACUGCAGAAUGGUGGGUUCUGCAGGAGAAGCCACUUGAGACAUGGGUUGGAGCAUGCCUGGCAUGGGAGGGGGCGUUCCAGGGGAAGGGCACUGCCUAUGCCAAGGUCCAGGGGUAUGCAGCACAUGGGUACGUUAGACAUUGCUGGGGUGCAGUGAGAGGUGGGAAGGGGCAUUUGAAAUACUUCAUUCCUUUGGACAUCAUCCUUAGGGCAGCAGGGAGCUAUGGAAGGCUUUUGAGCAGAGGAGUGACAAGUUAGAUCUGAGCACCAAGAGUGUCCACAGAUUGGAGGACCCACCUGGAGCAGGAAGACCAGUGAGGAGUGGCACAAGGGUCCUGGGAAGAGAUGAAGAGGAUGUUUAGGGAGGGCUUUGAAGGGUGUAUAGGAGUUGUACAGGGGACCCAGAGGGAGGGGCACCCCAGACAGCGGGCCACUGAAAGCAAAAGCGUAGAGGUGUGAAAGAGCACACGUUUAGAAAGCAGUGGGUGUGGUGGAGUUUGGAUUUGGGGAGCAAAUAGUGGGGUCAGGAGCUGGGGGGCCUCGGUGCCAUCCAUAGGCUACUGGGGGUGGGAGUCAGUGGGCUGAGCAGUAGGAAGAGAAUUUAAACAUCUGUAUUGGUUUCCUGGGGCUAUUAUAGCGAAUGACCACAAACUAGGUGGCUUAGAACAGAAAUUUAUUUCCUCACGGUUCUGGAGGCCAGAAGCCUGAAAUCAAGGUUGGCAGGCAGGGCUCCCCCGGAAGGCUCUAGGGGAGAGUCCCUUCUUUCUUCUUCCAGCUCUGGAGCUUCCUUGGCUUGUGGAUGCCAUCACUUCUAUCUCUGCUGCUACCCCAUGGCCUUCUCCAGGUCAGCAUCCUCCCUCACAAGACGCCUGUCAUUGGUUUAGGGUCCACCUGGAUAAUCCAAGAUGAUCGCAUCUCUAGAGCCUCAUCUUAAUUACAUCCGCAAGGACACUUUUUCUAAAUAAGGUCAUAUUCACAGGUUCCAGGUGGACCUAUCUUUUAGGGGGCCACCACUCACACACGACAAAUGCCAGUGGAACCUGUUUCCCCUUUUCCCUCCUUCCUGGGCUGCCAGCCCCUUCAGUCCCGCCUCCUUUCACCCUUCCAUCCCCAGGGCCCAGAGUGUGAGUUCGCGUUUGCCCAGGCAGCCUCCCCCCACGCGUCCCUCCCUCCAGGAGCCAACGCCCGCAGAGGCUGGGACCUCGCGGCAUCCGCGGGGAGAGGGCGCCACCGUGUGUCCGUUUGGGAGCAGCGCGCGCGGAGGCUCCCGCCGGUCCCCUCCCUGCGCGCGGCGUGUGACGGCCACUUACAGAGCUCCCGCGGCCCGCCAGCCACUCCACCCACGUUCAUCGGUUCUGCUCACAUCAGAACGAAGUGGGGAGUAUUGUCCCCGCUUUUCAGCCUAGCAGAGCCCGGCUCAGAGGUCACACAACCUUCCACCCCCAUCUGACUCCAAAGCCCCGCCCCCUAUCCACUAGCCAGAGUCGAACCUGGGGGCAGGAGGGCAGGCCACGCAGACUUGGGCCGCUGUCUUGCCCCCGGGUUUCCUCGUCUGUAAAGGGGAGGGGCUGCACGUGAGCCCCACCCCACCCCCACCCCAACCCCGUGGCCCCUUGCUCUGAUCCCAACAGAAACCCAAAUGAGGGGGCGCCUGGGUGGCUCAGUCUGUUAAGCGGUUAGGCGGCUACCUUGGGCUCAGGUCAUGAGCUCAGGUCAUGAGCUCAGGGUCUUGGGAUCGAGCCCCGCAUAGGGCUCCCUGCUCCGCGGGGGGCCUGCUUCUCUCUCUCCACUCAUGCUCUCUCUCUCUCUCUCUCGGUCUCUCUCAAAUAAUAAAUAAAUAAAAUCUUUUUUUUUUUUUUUUAAGAUUUUUUAUUUAUUUGCGAGAGAGAGAAUGAGAGACAGAGAGCAUGAGAGGGAGGAGGGUCAGAGGGAGAAGCAGACUCCCUGCCGAGCAGGGAGCCCGAUGCAGGACUCGAUCCCGGGACUCCGGGAUCAUGACCUGAGCCAAAGGCAGUCGCUUAACCAACUGAGCCACCCAGGCGCCCCAUAAAUAAAAUCUUAAAAAAAAAAAAAGAAACCCAAAUGAGGUAGCUGUGGACCUUGCCGCUUCCCAGUACUUCCCAAAUAUUGGUCUUUUAGACAUUUUUUUAGGUGUUUAUUGUCUUUCUGUAAACCCUUUCAUAUGUGUGAACUAUUUAAUAGUUUUGAAAAUAUACUUACUGGAUAAAACUUCAUGCAGGCCUCCAGGUCCCCGUCUGAAAGACAGUAAGCUGAUGGCAGCUUCUUCCAGCUUCUUCAAGGGAUGAUGUGUGCACGUAUGUAUAUUCACACCCCCCCAUUUUUUUAAACAAAUGGUGGCAUGCAAUGUACAUUCUGCGUUUACUUUUGUCACUUAAUUACAUUUUUGCAUUUGACCCAUACUACAAUGUAUAAUUUGCUUUUGUGGGUACAAUUUUCUAUUGAAAUAUAACUCUACUUACAUAUAUAUAUAAAGCUCGUAAGUGUAUACAGACUGAACACGACAUGUAGCCAGCACCCAGAUGAAGACAUGGCUCGUGCUCUCUCUCUAAUAAAUAAAACCUUUAAAAAAUAAUAAAAAUAAUAAUUAGGGCCUCUGGGUGGCUCAGUUGUUUGAGCGACUGCCUUCAGCUCAGGUCAUGAUCCUGAAGUCCCAGGAUCAAGUCCCGCAUCGGGCUCCCUGCUCAUCGGGGAGUCUGCUUCUCCCUCUGACUCUCCCCCCCUCUCAUGCUCUCUCUCUAUCAUUAUCUCAAUAAAUAAAUUUAAAAAAAUUAAAAAAAAGACAUUGAACACCACCAGCCCCUCAUGAACCCUUUUUGUGCCCCCUUCCAACUCCCCACAAAGGGAACCACCAUCCUGACCUCUUAAAUUUUGACCUAUUUUUGUUCUCCGUGUAAAUAGAAUCAUAUCCUCUUUUGUCUGCAGCUUCUCUUGCUCAAUAUCAUGUUUGUGGGACCCCUCCGUGUUGUGGCCUGUAGCUGUACAUUAUUUGCUCACAUUGCUGUGUGGUCCACACUUUAUUUUAGCUAUUCUACUAUUUUGUUCUCUCUCUCUCUCUCUUUCUCUCUCUCUUUUUAAGUAGGUUCCACGCCCAAUGUGGAGCCCAACAUGGGACUUGAGCUCACGACCCUGAGAUCAAGACCUGAGCUGAGAUCGAGAGUCGGAGGCUUAACCAACUGAGCCACCCAGGUGCCCCUAUUUUAUCUGUUCUACUAUUGACGGACAUUUGGAGAGUUUACAGGUUUUGCCUGUUACAAAUAGUGUUGCUAUUAAUAGUCUAGUGUGAUAUGUGUCUGUUGGUGAGCAUGUUGGGUGUAUACCUAUGGAUAGAUUUGCUGGGUCCAAGGUCUGCGGAUGUUCUGUUUUAGCGGAAGGUGCCCUAAAGAUUUCCGAGGUGAUGGUAGCAAGCAAUUUACAUUCCCACCAGUUCUGAUUACUCAACAUCCUCCCUCACUUGCAUUUUCAACCUUUUUCGUUGUGGCCAUUCUGGUAGGUACAGUGCUACUACAUUGUGGUUUCAGUUUGCAUUUCCCUGAUUACUAAUGAGGUUGAGCCCCCUUUCAUGCAUUUACUGGCCAUCUGGGUAUGCUCUUUUAUCUGUGUAAGUCUUUUGCCCAUGUUUCUAUUGGGGUGUCUGCCUUUCUCAUAUUGAUUUGUAGGAGCUCUUUAUAUAUAUGUAUAUAUGUAAAGUAGAAACUUUCUGUUGUAUACGUGUAUUGUAAAUAUCCUCUCCCAUUUUGUGGGUUGUCUUUUAACUCUUCUAAAGUGUACUUUUUGUUGAACAUAUUUCUUUUUUUAAUUUUUUUUAUUUUUUUAUUUAUUUUUUUUCAUAUUUCUUUUUUUUAAAGAUUGUAUUUAUUUAUUUGAGAGAGAGAGAGAGAGAGCCACGAGGGGGGAGGGGCAGAGGCAGAGGGAGAAGCAGACUCCCUGCUGAGCAGGAACCUGACACGGGGCUCCAUCCAGGACCCUGGGACCACGACCUGAGCCGAAGACGGACCCUUAACCGACUAAGCCACCCAGGCACCCCUGUUGAACAUAUUUCUUAAUUUAAUAUUGGCCACUUACAUACAUAGGCUUUUUUUUUUUAAAUGGUUAGUGCUUUUGUUUUUGGUUUAAGAAAACUGCCUGUUCCAAGGUCAUGAAGAUGUUCUCUUGUAUUUUCUUCUAAGGCUUUAUUGUUUUAAUCUUCCACAUUUAGGUAUGGAAUUUAUUUCUGUUUAUGGUGUGAGGUAGAGUUUGUGGUAGGCUGAAAAAUGGGCUCCCAAAGAUGUGCCCAUCCCAACCCCUGCAGUGUGAUUGCAGAUGUGAUUAAGUUAAGGAUUUUGAGACAAGGAGAUUAUCCUGGAUUAUCUAGUUGGGUCCUAAAUACAACCACAUGUAUCCUUUUUUUUUUUUUUUAAGUUUUAUUUAUUUAUUUUUGCAAGAGAGAGAGAGCAUGCAAGCUAGCACGAGUGGGGGGGAGGGGCAAAGGGAGAAGCAGAAUCCCCCGCUAAGCAGGGAACCCAAUGUGGGACUCAAUCCCAGGACCCCAAAAUAUUGACCUGAGCCGAAGGCAGACGCUUAACCUACUGAGCUACUCAGGUGCCCCAACGACAUGUAUCCUUAUAAGAGGAGAGCAGAGGGAGAUUUCUCGCACACACACACACACACACACGUUUUCCCCAAUUCUGCCCAGUUGACCCAGCACUAUUUACUGAAAAGAUCAUCCUUCUGCACCACACUGCAGUGUCAUUUUGUCAUAGAUCAGGUGUGUGUUGUUUUUGGACUCUAUUCUGUACCAUUAGUCUGUUUGUCUAUUCUUGUAUCAACACCACACUGUCUAAAUUUUAAUACUUAAAACAAUAGUCCUUGAUAUCUGGUACAGUACGUUCUCUAGUUUUAUUCUUUAUUUUUGUAUUUUAUAUAAAUGGCUUUUUCUUUGCAUCUCCAUGUAAGUUUGAGAAUCAGCUUGUUAAUUUCAGGGGAAAACCUUCUGGAUUUUGAUUGAGAUUCCACUGAAUCUGUAAUUGGAGAAGAACUGAUAUGUUUACAAUAUUGAGUCUUCUAGUCCAUAAGCAUGAUACAUCCCUCAAUUUAUUUAGGUCUUACUUAAUUUCAGUUUGUUUAGAUCUUAUUGUAACUCGACACAAAAAUGUUACUAAAAAUUGGAAGUUGAGAUAUAAUUCACAUACCAUGAUAUUUGCUAGUUUGAAGUGCACAAUUUAGUGGCUUUUUAGUAUAUUUAUAAAGUUGUAAAAUCAGUACUGCUAUCUAAUUCCUGGUUAUUAUUAUCACUCCCCAAAGAAACUCCAUACCCGGCAGUAGUCAUUCCUUAUUGUCCCCACCCCCCCAGCAUUGACAACCGCUAGUUACCUUCUGUCUCUAUGGAUUUGCCUCUGCUGGACAUUUCAUAUAAAUCAAACAGGGGUGUCUGGGUGGCACAGUCGGUUAAGCAUCCAACUCUUGGUUUUAGCUCAGUUCAUGAUCUCAGGGGCACGAGAUCGAGCCCUGUUUUGGACUCUGCAGUCAGCGCGGAGUCUUCUUCUUCUUUUUUUUUUUUUUUUAAAGAUUUUAUUUAUUAUUUGACAGAGAGAAUGAGAGAGAGAGAGCACAUGAGAGGGGGGAGGGUCAGAGGGAGAAGCAGACUCCCCGCCGAGCAGGGAGCCCGAUGCGGGACUCGAUCCCGGGACUCCGGGAUCAUGACCUGAGCCGAAGGC